rnacentral:tRNA from 1 species
GGCCUGUAGCUCAGUUGGUAGAGCAACUGACUUUUAAUCAGUAGGUCCCCGGUUCGGAUCCGGGCGGGCUCACCACUUA